UACGGAGGGUGCAAGCGUUGUUCGGAAUUACUGGGCGUAAAGCGCGCGUAGGCGGAUCUGUAUGUCGGAUGUGAAAGCCCCAGGCUUAACCUGGGAAUUGCAUCCGAAACUGCAGACCUUGAAUGCUUGAGAGGAUGACGGAAUUCCUGGUGUAGAAGUGAAAUUCGUAGAUAUCAGGAGGAGCACCGGAGGCGAAGGCGGUUGUCUGGCGAUGCAUUGACGCUGAGGUGCGAAAGCGCGGGGAGCAAACAGG
rnacentral:rRNA from 1 species